rnacentral:rRNA from 1 species
UGUUAAUAGUCAUACUCAUUUGACGUUAGCUGCAGAAGAAGCACCGGCUAACUCCGUGCCAGCAGCCGCGGUAAUACGGAGGGUGCGAGCGUUAAUCGGAAUUACUGGGCGUAAAGCGCAUGCAGGUGGUUUGUUAAGUCAGAUGUGAAAGCCCGGGGCUCAACCUCGGAAUUGCAUUUGAAACUGGCAAACUAGAGUACUGUAGAGGGGGUAGAAUUUCAGGUGUAGCGGUGAAAUGCGUAGAGAUCUGAAGGAAUACCGGUGGCGAAGGCGGCCCCCUCGGACAGAUACUGACACUCAGAUGCGAAAGCGUGGGGAGCAAACAGGAUUAGAUACCCUGGUAG